rnacentral:tRNA from 1 species
GCCCUUAUAGCUCAGUGGUAGAGCGCAUCACUCGUAGCAUUACGCUUACGUAAGCGACAUGAUGAGGUCCAUUGUUCAAUCCAGUGUGAGGGCA